rnacentral:rRNA from 1 species
AUUGAACGCUGGCGGAAUGCUUUACACAUGCAAGUCGAACGGUAGAGGGGGCAACCCCUCGAGAGUGGCGAACGGGUGAGUAAUAUAUCGGAACGUGCCCAGUCGUGGGGGAUAACGUAGCGAAUGCUACGCUAAUACCGCAUACGAUCUAAGGAUGAAAGCGGGGGAUCGCAAGCGCUCGCGCGAUUGGAGCGGCCGAGAUCAGAUUAGGUAGUUGGUGGGGUAAAGGCUCACCAAGCCAACGAUCUGUAGUUGGUCUGAGAGGACGACCAGCCACACUGGAACUGAGACACGGUCCAGACUCCUACGGGAGGCAGCAGUGGGGAAUUUUGGACAAUGGACGCAAGUCUGAUCCAGCCAUUCCGCGUGCAGGAUGAAGGCCCUCGGGUUGUAAACUGCUUUUGUACGGAACGAAAAGGUCUCUCUUAAUACGGGGGACUCAUGACGGUACCGUAAGAAUAAGCACCGGCUAACUACGUGCCAGCAGCCGCCGUAA